rnacentral:rRNA from 1 species
UACAGAGGUCUCAAGCGUUGUUCGGAUUUAUUGGGCGUAAAGGGCGCGUAGGCUGCGGGGCAAGUCGGGUGUGAAAUCUCAGAGCUCAACUCUGAAACUGCACUCGAUACUGCUUUGCUUGAGGACUGGAGAGGAGAUUGGAAUUCACGGUGUAGCAGUGAAAAUGCGUAGAUAUCGUGAGGAAGACCAGUGGCGAAGGCGGAUCUCUGGACAGUUCCUGACGCUGAGGCGCGAAGGCCCAGGGGGAGCAAAACGGG